GAUUGGCGCAGUGGUAGCGCGGCUCUGCCGUUUGCACCGAAGAGGUCACUGGUUCGAACCCAGUAUCGCCCA
rnacentral:tRNA from 1 species